GACGAACGCUGGCGGCGUGCUUAACACAUGCAAGUCGAGCGGUAAGGCUCCUUCGGGAGUACACGAGCGGCGAACGGGUGAGUAACACGUGAGCAAUCUGCCCUUCACUUUGGGAUAAGCACCGGAAACGGUGUCUAAUACCGAAUACGACCACUUCCGGCAUCGGAUGGUGGUGGAAAGUUCCGGCGGUGAAGGAUGAGCUCGCGGCCUAUCAGCUUGUUGGUGGGGUAACGGCCCACCAAGGCUUCGACGGGUAGCCGGCCUGAGAGGGUGACCGGCCACACUGGGACUGAGACACGGCCCAGACUCCUACGGGAGGCAGCAGUGGGGAAUAUUGGACAAUGGGCGAAAGCCUGAUCCAGCAACGCCGCGUGAGGGAUGACGGCCUUCGGGUUGUAAACCUCUUUCAGCAGGGACGAAGCGCAAGUGACGGUACCUGCAGAAGAAGCACCGGCCAACUACGUGCCAGCCGCCGCUGUAACAC
rnacentral:rRNA from 1 species